rfam:Triticum aestivum genome assembly, contig: Triticum_aestivum_CS42_TGACv1_scaffold_146068_2BS
CUAUUACUCCCUCCGUUCCAAAAUACUUAACCCCCACUUGUCUAGAUAUGUGGAUGUAUCUAUACUUGUUUAGUGUCUAAAUACAUCCAUGUCUAGACAAAUGGAAGUCAACUAAUUUGGAACGGAUGGAGUAUAUG